UACGUAGGGUGCAAGCGUUAAUCGGAAUUACUGGGCGUAAAGCGUGCGCAGGCGGUUGGGCAAGACAGAUGGGAAAUCCCCGGGCUUAACCUGGGAAUUGCAUUUGUGACUGCACGGCUAGAGUGUGUCAGAGGGGGGUAGAAUUCCACGUGUAACAGUGAAAUGCGUAGAUAUGUGGAGGAAUACCGAUGGCGAAGGCAGCCCCCUGGGAUAACACUGACGCUCAUGCACGAAAGCGUGGGGAGCAAACAGG
rnacentral:rRNA from 1 species